rnacentral:rRNA from 1 species
GAUGAACGCUGGCGGCGUGCCUAAUACAUGCAAGUCGAGCGAACAGACGAGGAGCUUGCUCCUCUGACGUUAGCGUCGGACGGGUGAGUAACACGUGGAUAACCUCCCUAUAAGACUGGGGUAACUUCGGGAAACCGGAGCUAAUACCCGAUAAUAUAUUCAACCGCAUGGUUCAAUAGUGAAAGACGGUUUUGCUUUCACUUAUACAUGGAUCCGCGCCGCAUUGGCUAGUUGGUAAGGUAACGGCUUACCAAGGCAACGAUGCGUAGCCGACCUGGGAGAGGGAUCGGCCACACUGGAACUGAGACACGGUCCAGACUCCUACGGGAGGCAGCAGUAGGGAAUCUUCCGCAAUGGGCGAAAGCCUGACGGAGCAACGCCGCGUGAGUGAUGAAGGUCUUCGGAUCGUAAAACUCUGUUAUUAGGGAAGAACAAAUGUGUAAGUAACUAUGCACGUCUUGACGGUACCUAAUCAGAAAGCCACGGCUAACUACGUG